UCUCCGUAGGUGAACCUGCGGAGGGAUCAUUACUGAGUGAGGGCCUCCGGUCCGAACUCCAACCCUUUGUGAACACAACUUGUUGCUUCGGGGACGACCCUGCCGUUUCGACGGCGAGCGCCCCCGGAGGCCUUCAAACACUGCAUCUUUGCGACGGAGUUUAAGUAAAUUAAACAAAACUUUCAACAACGGAUCUCUUGGUUCCAGCAGCGAUGAAGAACGCAGC
rnacentral:misc_RNA from 1 species